UGGGGAAUAUUGGACAAUGGGCGAAAGCCUGAUCCAGCCAUGCCGCGUGUGUGAAGAAGGUCUUCGGAUUGUGAAGCACUUUAAGUUGGGAGGAAGGGCAGUAAGCGAAUACCUUGCUGUUUUGACGUUACCGACAGAAUAAGCACCGGCUAACUCUGUGCCAGCAGCCGCGGUAAUACAGAGGGUGCAAGCGUUAAUCGGAAUUACUGGGCGUAAAGCGCGCGUAGGUGGUUCGUUAAGUUGAAUGUGAAAGCCCCGGGCUCAACCUGGGAACUGCAUCCAAAACUGGCGAGCUAGAGUAGGGCAGAGGGUGGUGGAAUUUCCUGUGUAGCGGUGAAAUGCGUAGAUAUAGGAAGGAACACCAGUGGCGAAGGCGACCACCUGGGCUCAUACUGACACUGAGGUGCGAAAGCGUGGGGAGCAAACAGG
rnacentral:rRNA from 1 species